rnacentral:rRNA from 1 species
ACGAACGCUGGCGGCAGGCCUAACACAUGCAAGUCGAGCGCCCCGCAAGGGGAGCGGCGGACGGGUGAGUAACGCGUGGGAACGUGCCUCUUGCUACGGAAUAGCCUCGGGAAACUGGGAGUAAUACCGUAUAAGCCCUACGGGGGAAAGAUUUAUCGGCAAGAGAUCGGCCCGCGUUGGAUUAGGUAGUUGGUGGGGUAAUGGCCUACCAAGCCGACGAUCCAUAGCUGGUUUGAGAGGAUGAUCAGCCACACUGGGACUGAGACACGGCCCAGACUCCUACGGGAGGCAGCAGUGGGGAAUCUUAGACAAUGGGCGCAAGCCUGAUCUAGCCAUGCCGCGUGAUCGAUGAAGGCCUUAGGGUUGUAAAGAUCUUUCGUGGGGGAAGAUAAUGACUGUACCCCAAGAAGAAGCCCCGGCUAACUCCGU